rnacentral:lncRNA from 1 species
GCUCUUAAAAGCGUCCACGUCGAGUCCUGGAAACUACAAUUACCAAGGGGCCAUAGGACCCUGGGCGGUUUCUCUUUUCCGUCGAGUGAAACGUCUGAAGUUGCUUCUGAGGGAUCACCUUGACUGGGUAAGUUGGUUGGAGAAAGUUCUCGUGGUGAACUGAGCUGGCUGCAGACUUUUUCGUACGCCAGCCCGGUUUGGGGCUCCCUUGCCUCUCGAUGCCGGGAACCGCACCUUGACCUUUAGUCUUCGUGCCCCCCCCCCCCGUUCCCUAUUCAGACACCUCUGGUUCCCCACCCACACGCUAAAUCCUCGCACUGUCAAACUCGCGCGCCCCGAAAUUGUUUCUCUCGGCGCAGCCUCGCGCUCUGUGCGCUUCGCCCCGUGGUUUUCAGGCAGGUGGGUGGGUUCCUAUUUCUUUUUCGCUUUGCCUUGAGCUUUAAGUCGGCCAGUGUGGUUCUCAUCCAGCCCAGCCUCUCCCUCUGUGACCUCCCUGGGACCCCCUUUCUUCCUCUCUAAACUGGAGGUGGCCGUCAGCCUUAGGGCGAGGUUGGGUUGUAGAGCUGGCCGGGGUGUAAGUGGAUCUGUAAACCGUCAGGUCUCCGCAAACGACAUUUAUCGCGACCUCAUCGAGGCUGCUUUUCUGGACCCAGCAAGCUUGUUGCUCAAGCGCGUCCUUUUGAACCCGAUGUCUCCAUUUAAAAGCAGGGUGAGAUUUCCUCACUUCCUCCAGAGACCGAAGGUCACACAGUGAACUUUUAGUAUCCCAGGGGCCCUUGUCUGAAAGGAAGGCUGCUAGAGAGGCGCUUAUCUUGGAUUCUGUCCUGAAAUAGCCAGUGAUGAAAGGUUCACCCAGCUGGCAGAGAGGCCGUCCCUACUCCCUAGAAGCAGGGCCCCAGCAGGAGGACAGCUGCAGCGUAAGCCCUGUCGAUGCCCUUUGAGCUCUCUGGGGCCUGAGUAGUAACUCUGGCUUUGGCAGGGUGACUGAGACCUGAGAAAUCCACUUUACUGAAGGGUAUAAUCCAGGAAAAAUGAAAGAGACCUUGGCUGGGUAUGUUGAAAGAGAGACUUACCGUUGUUAACGAGUUAGUUCCUGACAUUUUGUGAGUACUUAAAAUAUACCAGGCCCUAGGCAAUAUCAGUUUACUCAUUUAAAUUUCACUUAUGAAAUGUCCCCAUUUUACAUAUAAAACAACUUAGGCUCAGAGAGGCCAUGUAGUUAGUUAAAAUAACUGUAGGUAUAGCUACCUUCCGUGGCUCUACUGCUGUCUGAAUGUCAGGGGCUUCACAUAUAUUACUUAAUCCUCUUCAACAGGCUCAUGAGUAGUGUUAUUUCUAUCAUGUGGUUAAUUCUUAGAGGUUUAGAGUUUAAGGAACUUGCUCAAGAUCUCACAGCUGCCAGGCAUGGUGGCGCACGCUUGUAAUCUCAAGGGCUCAGGAGGCUGGGGCAGGAGGAUUACGAGUUCAAAGCCAUUCUCAGCAAUUUAGUAGGCCCUGUCUCUAAAUAAAAUAUAAAAAAGAGCUGGAGAUGUGUCUCAGUAGUUAAGCACCGCUGAGUUAAUCCCUGGUACCAAAAAAAAAAAAAAAAAAACCCUCAUAGAUAAGAACCAGAGGAAUUCAGUUACCAGAGCCUUUCUUUUCCUACUAUGCCAUAUAGUUUUAUUUUUAGAUAAAAAAAUUUAAAAAGAAUUGAGGGGUCUGGGGUUGUGGCUCAGCGACAGGGCACUUACCUAGCAUAUUUGAGGUGCUGGGUUCAACCUCAGCACCACAGAAAAAUAAAAAUAAAUAAAGGGAUUUAAAAAAAAAACAUGGAUAAAUGGUUUGGCCUACAAAGAAGUAUAAAACAGUCUUUUUAAAUUUUCUUUUAAUUUUUUAGUUAUAGUUGGACACGAUACCUUUAUUUUAUUUAUUUAUUUUUAUGUGGUGCUGAGGAUCGAACUCAGGGCGUCGCCUGUGCUAGGUGAGUGCUAUACCACUGAGCUACAACCCUAGUCCAAAACACAGUCUUUAUCCCUGGAAUAUAUCUAAAAGUUUUAACUGUGGGAAAAUUUAAAGAACAUUCAUUGAAUAAAUUAAUUAUUGAGACCAACUGUGAAAAGGGCACUACAUUAAGCCUAGUGACUGGUAGGAACUUACUUUUGGGGUGGCCAUUGGCGAUUAUACCCGGUAAAAACUUAGUCAUAAAAAUCAGGGGACAAGAAUACAGGGUACUGUCAGUGUUCAUUGCAUGCACACAGGUCUGAACAGAAAAAAGACCUCUCACUAUCUAGACCAGGUGAUUAGAAAUACCAGGAAGCUUUUAAAAACUAAUUGGGGGCCAGGCAUGGUAAUGAAUGUCUGUAAUCCCAGUGACUCAAGAGGCUGAGACAGGAGGAUCAUAAGGUCAAGGCCCUAAGCAACUCAAUGAGACCCUUCUCCCUCCCCCCCCCCCCCCAAAAAAACCCAAACUAAUUGGGGGCUAGGGUAUAGCUUAGUGGCAGAGUGCAUGCCAAGCAUGGGGGCUGUGGUUUUAUUCCUAGCACCUCAAAAAAAACCCAUAUUGACCUCUGAGAAUGGAGGCCCUAGAAUAUACUUUUUUUGCCCAGGGUUUGGGGAGGGACCCAGGGAUUGAAUCCAGGGGCAUUUAACCAGUGAACCAUAUCCUGAGCCCUUUUUAUUUAUUUAUUUUUAUUUUGAGACAGUCACUAAAUUCCUGAGCCUAGCCUUAAACUUGCAGUCCUCCUGCCUCAGCCUCCCAAAUCGCUGGGAUUACAGGUGUAGCAUGCCUGGCUAGAAUAUACAUUUUUGAAGUUGCCUGUGUGAAUGGGAUCUAGGCCAAGGAAUACCUGAGCUACAUUCCACAUGGACCACUGUUGGAGGCAGGUCACUGUUGAAAGCUGCUAGAAGAGCUGCCUAAAGCAGCCCUGUGAUUGGAUUCUAGAUAAGAGAUGGGGACUGUGCUCAGAAAUUGAGAGGAGGAAACAUUGGAAAGACUUGGGAAAUAUCCCCAGAGGACAUGGUGACCUCACUGGGCCUGGAUGGAUGGAGAGGCUCCUGGACAGGAAAAAGCCUACCAUGAACUGUUCAGGCAAGAGGAGCAAAAGAAGCAGAGACACCUGCACCGAUUUCCUUGGAAAAUUCCACAGUGUUUUUAGAAAGGACUCUGGAUGCUCUGGGUGGAUUGUCUUCAGUAAAAUUGGUCAGGUUGGGGUUUUCCAUCUCAUUCUAUCUGAGCACCAGUCAGUGUGAGCGUAGGGAAUACAGAUUCAUCUCUUCAUGAAAGCCUCACUUCUGGCCAAUGAUCUUUUUUUCUUUUUUCUUUAUUUCCAAUCAGAAUUUAAUUGAUGACCUUCUCAGAAGUUUGCCAGGGAUAUCAGAAACACCUUCUCCCCUCUGGGCCGCUGUUUCCAAAUCCACUUAUCUUGCCGCCUGUCCCACACGCUGCUCCCUGUGUAGGAUGAGACGAAAAAUCUCUUCCCAUAAGAAGCUAUUGUCAAUGAACCCUGACAUCUGACUGUCUUUGGCUCUCCCUUCUCCCUUGAUUCUCCAAACCUAUACAGUUGCCAAGUCCAUUUGGGGAGGAGGGUGGUACUGGGCAUUGAAUCUAGGGGACUCUACGACAGAGCUACAUCCCCAGCACUUUUUAUUUUUUUACUUUGACACACUGUCUUGCUAUGUUGCUGAAUCUGGCCUGGAAUUUGUGAUCCUCCUGCCUUAGCCUCCCUGCAAUAAAGAAUUUUUUCUUGGGCAGUGCUGGGGAUGAACCAGGGCCCCACAAGUGCUAGCCAAGGGCUCUACCGCUGAGUUAGCCUCCCAGCCUUUUCCAAAACCUGUUGUUUUUUCAAUCAACAGAUAUUUUCUGGAAUCUUGCUAAGAACCAGGAGUAUGCCAGGUGUUUUCAGUGCAUUAUUUCACUUUAUCUCCUAGUGUCCCUAUGAGGAUGAGAAAUGAGGCUUAUGAGAGGUCAGAUGACUUGUCCAGGGGAAGCAAGCUAGGCCGCAAUGGAGCUGCACCCCAAAAGCAGGUCUUUCAGAUGUGGUUUCUUGCGCAGCAGCCCUUGGACAUCUGCCACCUCAUUUCAGAGCAGAGUGGCACUCCUUAGUUUAGCUGCCCUUCAGCUUGCUCCUCUCCCCUUCUGUCCAUCAUUAGCCGCUCCCCGUUUCUCAUUCUUAGCACACUGCCUUUGCCCACUGUUUUCCUACUUGAACAUCAGCCUUUCCCGUUUCCCCCUGCUCCCAAGCUCAGGAAGCACUCUGUCCCCUCAGAACCCCUGUUAUCUGUCUCUUAUGACAGAACUUGGCAGUUGCUUCACUGUCAUGUGGGUGGCAUGCUUCUCGUGACCCAAUCGUGCUGUGUGUCCAUCAGCAACAAAGGCAAAAGUCAGGGCCUGAGGCUAAGAAGCUCUGGUCAACCACUGAUUACAUCAGGAGCUUAGCAUCCUUUUGAAGAGAAUUGGGUUGAUUUUCAAUAUUUUUUAAGAUGGUGUCUUCCAGUGUUGCCCAGGCUCACCUUGAACUUGUGGAAUCAAGUGGUCCUCCCAUCUCAGCCUGCCAGAGUGGGAUUCUUUUAAGAUUUGCUUCAGAGAAGCAAAAUGGAGUUAAGUCUGUGGUACAAAUAAAUGAGACUGAGAGCAUAGCUAUCUUAGUGAUAGAGUGCUUGCUUAGCCUGUGUAAGGCCCCAAGUUCCAACUCUAGCUCUGUAAAAAAAGAAAAUUGUCUCUUACCUACUAACGUUAAAUAGAAUGAUAUUAGGAUUAUUUGGGGGUGUCCAUUGGCAGUUGGAAGUUGGAGAGCAGGAGAUGUGUGUUUAAUAAUAAUUCUGCUUGUGACAUGAGCAGCUCACUUAAUCUCUUAGGAUCUUGGCUUCUUCAGUAAAGUGCCAUGUAUGUACCAGGCCAGGGAUGGGGAGAUGAUCAGGGGAGGAUUGGCAGGAGCAAUUUCUGGAGGACUUUUCUUGCCCAGGCGUGCUUGGACUUGAACUCUCUGAACCCUCUGAGAGCAUCUUGCAGGAAGCAGAGUAAUACAGUAAUUAAUAACGGGGAAUUCUUUUAGCUGCUCUUGAUUGCAAGCAAUAGGAAUCUAAAUUCUGUUGGUUUAUUAGUUGUUGUUGUUUAUUUUGCAGUGGUGGGGACCAAACUCAAGGCCUGGUGUGCGCUGUUGGGAAUGUAUUGACCCGGGUGAUCAGAAAGUCCAGGAAUGGGUCAGGUUUCAGUUAUAGUCUAAUCUUGGGACUCAUUUCCCUGUGGUUUUCUCAGCUCUGCCAUCUGUGAAUGGAGGACAUAGAGGGGCGAGGUGGCGCAACAGUGAUGCAGGUUUAUUCAUGACAAACCUGCGGAAGGGGCCCGGUGGAGACUGACACCUGUCUUCUACUCAGCCUGGGCCAGACACAGGGGCAUGAGGGAGUGGGAGAAUUUUUGCAGUUGCGCCAUUGCUAGGAGAUUGACCCAAAGGACGUCACCUCUAUUCUGUGAGGUGCUCACCAUUCCAUGUCGAAGCAGGUGUUUUCAGGGUUCCUGUCCCAGAUAACCAUGUCCUUAAUUUGUACGACAAUGAAGCCUUGUCUGGGGCUUAAGGUCAGGCUGAGUCAGAGUGACCACAAGGUGACUCUUAUUCUAAGAUAUAUUUCAAAAUGGCGUUGCUGUGUCAGGUUCUGCCUAACGCUAUCCACCAUGAUAGCUUCAUUGGCAAAGUACCUACAGCAGUUCAAGGCCAGGUGACCUGUGACAUCUACAUUUCACACUAGUGCAAAACAACAAAGAACUUUACUCCCCUCAACCAUCAAACCAAACUAGCAUUAAUAUUUUAGGUCAGCGGUGUUGUGUGUGUCUGAGUGUCCCCCAUGAGCAGGGUCAGUCGUGGCUAAGAGCUCCGUGCCUGGCCCCGGCAGACCUGUGUGUGCUCCUGAGCGAGGUAACUUGGGAAAGUUAUUCAACCUCUUAAGCCUCAGUUUUCUCAUCCAUAAAGUGGAUCUCAAUACUGCCCACCUCCAAGAGUUGUUGAGAGAAUGAAAGGAGCUCAUGGAUGUGAGGAGCUUAGCUCAGUGCCCAUAGGGAACUGCUACACCAGUAGCCUGUGGAGGGCAGGUCUGUGUCUCGGUCUCUGCCACAGUUACCCCUGCACUUGCAUACAGUAGGUGCUGCAUAAACACUUACUGGAAGUCUUCAGUUCCCACUUUCUUUCUUUUCGCAGUGCUGGGGUUGGAACCCAGGGCCUGUGCACGCCAGGCAAGUGCUGCAUCCCCAGCUCUUGGCAGGUUUGAAGAUGGAAGUUCUUUCUCCUCUUCACCACCAUCUCCUCACCUCCCCAGAAAGAAAUGCAGCCCCUCUACCUUAGCAAAUGAUUUAAUGAGUGACUGGCAGGGAGGAUGGGGAGGUGAGGGGUGAGGGGACGGAGCGGCAGUGGCACAUGACUCAUGAGCAGCAAAAAGCCAAGAGGAAACCAGCAAGAGGCUGUUCUGUGUUCCACCCUCCAGCCGUCAAGUUCAGCACCGCCCCAGUCAUAGGAUCAGUUGCCGUUGAGAUGGGGACCAGCCAGUCGGUGUGCUUCCCACCUGUCUCAGGACCCCACCUUGUAGGCUGUGGGGAUGUGAUGGAGGGUCAGAGUCUCCAGGUAGGUGUCUGCAGCUCCUCCCCUACACGUCUCCCCUGCUUUG